AGAGUUUGAUCAUGGCUCAGGAUGAACGCUGGCGGCGUGCUUAACACAUGCAAGUCGAACGAUGAUCCCCAGCUUGCUGGGGGGAUUAGUGGCGAACGGGUGAGUAACACGUGAGUAACCUGCCCUUGACUCUGGGAUAAGCCUGGGAAACUGGGUCUAAUACCGGAUAUGACUCCUCAUCGCAUGGUGGGGGGUGGAAAGCUUUUGUGGUUUUGGAUGGACUCGCGGCCUAUCAGCUUGUUGGUGAGGUAAUGGCUCACCAAGGCGACGACGGGUAGCCGGCCUGAGAGGGUGACCGGCCACACUGGGACUGAGACACGGCCCAGACUCCUACGGGAGGCAGCAGUGGGGAAUAUUGCACAAUGGGCGAAAGCCUGAUGCAGCGACGCCGCGUGAGGGAUGACGGCCUUCGGGUUGUAAACCUCUUUCAGUAGGGAAGAAGCGAAAGUGACGGUACCUGCAGAAGAAGCGCCGGCUAACUACGUGCCAGCAGCCGCGGUAAUACGUAGGGCGCAAGCGUUAUCCGGAAUUAUUGGGC
rnacentral:rRNA from 1 species